rnacentral:rRNA from 1 species
UACGGGGGGGGCAAGCGUUGUUCGGAAUUACUGGGCGUAAAGGGCUCGUAGGCGGCCAACUAAGUCAGACGUGAAAUCCCUCGGCUUAACCGGGGAACUGCGUCUGAUACUGGAUGGCUUGAGAUUGGGAGAGGGAUGCGGAAUUCCAGGUGUAGCGGUGAAAUGCGUAGAUAUCGGGAGGAACACCUGUGGCGAAGGCGGCCCCCUGGUUGGAUACUGACGCUGAUACGCGAAAGCGUGGGGAGCAAACAGG